rnacentral:tRNA from 2 species
CAGAAAGUAGUUUUAACUAGAAUGUUAGCUUUGGGAGUUAAUGGUGGAGGUGAGAUUCCUUCCUUUCUGA